UCGGAACGCGUCCUGGAGUGGGGGAUAGCCCGGCGAAAGCCGGAUUAAUACCGCAUACGCUCUGAGGAGGAAAGGGGGGGAUCGAAAGACCUCUCGCUCAAGGGGCGGCCGAUGGCAGAUUACCUAGUUGGUGGGGUAAAGGCCUACCAAGGCGACGAUCUGUAGCUGGUCUGAGAGGACGACCAGCCACACCGGGACUGAGACACGGCCCAGACUCCUACGG
rnacentral:rRNA from 1 species